rnacentral:lncRNA from 1 species
AACAUCAUCAACAUUAACAACCAGAUCUUCAGCUUCUUUCCCCUCAAUAUUGUUCACUCUAUGCCCACCAUGCUGAGGCAUAGGGUUGUUUACGACGUUAGGCACUAGAGCGAAGUUGAUUGCCUUGGCAUCGAUCAAAUCUUGGACCUUGUGCUGGAGAGCCCGACACUUCUCAGUAUGAUGCCCUGGUGCCCCAGAGUGNN